AAUGGGAUAGCUGGGUCAAAGGGUGGUUCCAUUCCCAGUUUUCUGAGGAAUCUCCAAACUUCUUUCCAUAGUGGUUGCACCAAUUUGCAGUCCCUCCAGCAAU
rnacentral:pre_miRNA from 1 species